ACCCUUACGGCUAACCAAAAAAACACAAUUCAAAACAUCCACAUCAAUAAUGUAUGAUUCUUAAAUGGUCUAAAACAAAAUAUUUAAACUUGAAUCCUCAAUAAAACUACCAACCAUCAGGAUCAGAUCACUUUCAUUCAUGUUAUCAGGAUUAUCAAUUUCAUUCACGUCGUCAGAGUCACCAUCACUUUCAUUCUCAUAAGCUUGGUUGUCUUCUUGAGAUGGGCGUUCAUCAUUUG
rnacentral:lncRNA from 1 species